rnacentral:rRNA from 1 species
CUGGUUGAUCCUGCCAGUAGUCAYAUGCUUGUCUCAAAGAUUAAGCCAUGCAUGUCUAAGUAUAAGCAAUUUAUACAGUGAAACUGCGAAUGGCCUCAUUAAAUCAGUUAUCGUUUAUUUGAUAGUACCUUACUACUUGGAUAACCGUGGUAAUUCUAGAGCUAAUACAUGCUUAAAAUCCCGACCGUUUGGAAGGGAUGUAUUUAUUAGAUAAAAAAUCAAUGUCUUCGGACUCUUUGAUGAUUCAUAAUAACUUUUCGAAUCGCAUGGCCUUGUGCUGGCRAUGGUUCAUUCAAAUUUCUGCCCUAUCAACUUUCGAUGGUAGGAUAGUGGCCUACCAUGGUUUCAACGGGUAACGGGGAAUAAGGGUUCGAUUCCGGAGAGGGAGCCUGAGAAACGGCUACCACAUCCAAGGAAGGCAGCAGGCGCGCAAAUUACCCAAUCCCGACACGGGGAGGUAGUGACAAUAAAUAACGAUACAGGGCCCUUUCGGGUCUUGUAAUUGGAAUGAGUACAAUGUAAAUACCUUAACGAGGAACAUUGGAGGGCAAGUCUGG